GACCACGAUCCAACCCUAAAUACUAAUACCAGAUCGAUAGUGCACAAGUACCGUGAGGGAAAGGUGAAAAGAACUGAGGUGAUCAGAGUGAAAUAGAACCUGAAACCAUUUGCUUACAAUCAUUCAGAGCACUAUGUAGCAAUACAGUGUGAUGGACUGCCUUUUGCAUAAUGAGCCUGCGAGUUGUGGUGUCUGGCAAGGUUAAGCAAACGCGAAGCCGUAGCGAAAGCGAGUCUGAAUAGGGCGCUUAGUCAGAUGCUGCAGACCCGAAACGAAGUGAUCUAUCCAUGAGCAAGUUGAAGCUAGUGUAAGAACUAGUGGAGGACUGAACCCAUAGGCGUUGAAAAGCCCCGGGAUGACUUGUGGAUAGGGGUGAAAGGCCAAUCAAACUUCGUGAUAGCUGGUUCUCUCCGAAAUAUAUUUAGGUAUAGCGUUGUGUCGUAAUAUAAGGGGGUAGAGCACUGAAUGGGCUAGGGCAUACACCAAUGUACCAAACCCUAUCAAACUCCGAAUACCUUAUAUGUAAUCACAGCAGUCAGGCGGCGAGUGAUAAAAUCCGUCGUCAAGAGGGAAACAACCCAGACUACCAGCUAAGGUCCCUAAAUCUUACUUAAGUGGAAAACGAUGUGAAGUUACUUAAACAACCAGGAGGUUGGCUUAGAAGCAGCCAUCCUUUAAAGAAAGCGUAAUAGCUCACUGGUCUAGUGAUUUUGCGCGGAAAAUAUAACGGGGCUAAAGU
rnacentral:rRNA from 1 species